rnacentral:ncRNA from 2 species
GAUUUAUCGCGAACGGCCGGAGUACUGGCUCUAUGACCCGCCGGCAACCAUUCCCUAAAAGGAAAAGGUGCCCCUUCCAGCCCCGUAAUACCGGGGAAAGAUGAUUU